UACACACCGCCCGUCACACCAUGAGAGCUGUUUGUACCCAAAAUCAUUUUAGCCAACCUGUAAAGGGGCGGAUGCCUAAGGUAUGUAUGGUAAUUGGGGUG
rnacentral:rRNA from 1 species